rnacentral:lncRNA from 1 species
GAAUGUCUCGAGAAACAAUCUUCGCUUGUCUUCCACUUACGUAAAGCCUAAGCGCUUGAGUGGGUUAUCACCAAGUCGGAGAGAUGGAUCAAACCCAAGCGGUAUAGGACGUCUACGUUCUUCACUCGUCCUCCACUUACGUAAAGCCUAAGCGCUUGAGCGGGCUAUCACCAAGUCGGAGAGAUGGAUCAAACCCAAGUGGUAUAGGACGUCUACAUUCUUCACUCGUCCUCCACUUACGUAAAGCCUAAGCGCUUGAGCGGGUUAUCACCAAGUCGGAAAGGUGGAUCAAACCCAAGCGGUAUAGGACGUCUACGUUCUUCACUCGUCCUCCACUUACGUAAAGCCUAAGCGCUUGAGCGGGUUAUCACCAAGUCGGAGAGAUGGAUCAAACCCAAGCGGUAUAGGACGUCUACGUUCUUCACUCGUCCUCCACUUACGUAAAGCCUAAGCGCUUAAGCGGGUUAUCACCAAGUCGGAGAGAUGGAUCAAACCCAAGCGGUAUAGGACGUCUACGUUUUUCACUUGUCCUCCAUUUACGUAAAGC